AAUAAAAUGCCUGAAAAAGGGUUAUCUUGAUAGGAUAAAUUAUGUAAAGAUAUACUUACUUUUAUUA
rnacentral:tRNA from 1 species